rnacentral:lncRNA from 1 species
GCUUCAAUUCGUUGUUCUGUGUUCGCCAUUCUCGAAUUGAGUCAGAAUCCUAGAAAGAUAUUGUGAGACCUCAUUCAUAUCUGGGCGAGCUGACGGAUCUUUACUGAGGCAACCAUCAAUCAGUUUGACCAAAGACAUGGCGAGUUCCGGAAGAUAAUUCCCUUGGAGGCGUUGGUCAAUGAAACUGGUCAACUUUUCAUUUGUGUCUGUGUUUUCUUCCUGGAGAACAUCAUAUAAAACCUCAGACAAAUUCUUGUUCACCAUCUCGUAGAGAUCAGAAACAUGUUUUCCUGUAACUAUUUCAAGUAACAGAACGCCAAAUCCGUAAACAUCAAGCUUUGUGGAAAUCAACCCGUUUUCCAAAUAUUCGGGAGACAUGUAACCUCUAGUACCAACAAUGUGUCGGGUCAGUGCGAAUUGACCUUCUUGCCCUUCAGCAGACCUUGCAAGAUCAAAAUUUGUAAUCUUUGCUCUGAAAUCACCAUCAAGAAGAAUAUUGCUGCUUUCUAGAUUCUUGUAAACAUAUGGAGGGGUGGUAUAACUGUGGAGGUAAUCAAGCCCGUUUGCUACGUCUAAAGCAAUUUGUAUUCUCUGCAUCCAGUUUAACGAUUUGUUGCUGCUUAGUGCGUUAUAAUAGAUCCAAUCGCUUAAUGGCCCAUUAACAGCAAACUCAUAAACAAGAUACCAAUGACCGUCAUCAAAACAAACACCUGCUAGGUGAAUGAGAUUAUGAUGGUGAAUAGUGUUAAGUAAACGAAUCUCGUUUGACACGUCACCAUGCAUUUUCUUGAUGGCAACAAGGUUUCCGUUGAUGGUACCUUGGUAAACAGACCCCUUAAUCAAACAAUCGGGACUAAAAUCUUGUGUGGCUGACUGAAGUUGUUCAAAUUUGUAUACUUUGAGGGAUUGCGCUAUGCUACUUAAACUCUCCAAGAAUUCCGAGUCUUCAUCAAUAUCCAACUUCUUAUCCCCUGGUUUUACAAUUGCUUCAAAGCUCUGAGAAGCAGAAGAAACCGUAGGUGGAGUCGUUUUCUUUUUCUUUGAAAAGAAAAGGUAGAAAAUGCACAACCCAAUAGCAAAUGUGAGAACAACCCCUCCAAGGACUCCUACAAGCAUAUAUACCCAUUUAUGAUCAUUGGCGGAAGUGGGGGGUGGUGGCGACAGUGGUGAUGGUGGUGGCGAUGUUGUUGGAGGCGGUGGCGGUGCUAUGGUUUGAGAUUUAUUAGGUGGAUUAGAAAGUGGAACUAAAAGGGUGGUGAACGGGUAGAUAUUAAAAUCGGUUUCUGAUAACUCAUUGGCUUGAAGAGUCAGCCCAGUAUCAACUCCAAAUAUAGCACUUAUAGCCGAAACCGUUUGUCCCCAAGUGAUCAAGUAAGACAGCAAAUAGUUAAUACCAGCAGCAGCUUGCUUUUCGGUUGGACAAGCACAUCUUAAUGGCACGGCCUCCGAAAGUGUCGUUGGCGAUCAAGAGAGGCGUGUCUCCGGACUGGAUAACAUAAGUCGUGUUCGCUUGAUAGAACUGACCCAAACACGAACACCGGGUGGGCACAAGCACCGUCUCACCAGUUCCAAAAGUGUAGUUUUCUGAGACCAAGUUGAGUUGUGAAAGCUGAGUAGCGUUUGCAUUCAAUAAACCGGCGAUGGAAACAACCGUGUUAUAAGGGGGUUUGGAUCGGAAGGUGAGAUAAGCUUGGCAGGUAUCGUUAACACCGUUACAGGCGUAACCGAAAACAGAAGUUGAAGCAUUUGUGACAGCACAGUUUGUACUCAACUUCCUGAUGUAUGGUUGUUGGGCCUGAAUCAAAAUCGGCGGACAAAUUAAGAGGAUAGCGCAAACGAAGAAAAAGCGCAGGGCCAGCAUGUUUGAGAUGUUAGCAGAAGAUCGGAAUCUGAAGUUGAUUGAAUGGAAAGAAGAGGAUGGAGUUGACCAAGUUGGAUGAAGGAAGCGUAGGGAUGAUCAAAGAUAAUAUUGUUUGGAGUAGUUAAUUAGUAGGCAUGAUGAACGAAGGUUUGAAUUGAAAUGUUCAUGUGGGAAUCAAAUGAUUUGA